CCAUGGGAGUGCUCUUGCAUCCCUUUGCUUUCUUCACGUGCGUCCAUAGGCUCCUGGUUUAGUGGCUGUGUGGAGUCUGGCACCUCAUCUGUGAUCAAUGAGUCCCUUAGAAGAAAACGCAGCGCCAUCACUAGAUUUCUUGCCAUGCCACUAGACAUGGUCUAAAAAUGUUGAUCUCCUCUAUGAAGAGCUGCUCACAAAUUAAAGCCUGAAAAGGGGAAGCUCGAAUGAAGCUAAAUGCCUUCAAAAAGAAGUGUAAAGCAGGAAAAACACAAUGGCUAGAAAACCAGUUACUUUUGGACCAAACAGAAAAAAGGAAAUCAGUAAAGAUGUCAUUUGUUACUCUAACAAUAAAUAGGAAUAAAUAUUAAAAUCAAUACUAAUUUUUAAAUAAAUGCA